UGAGUACGAGAUGCUACGGCAUCGAAGCAGUCUAUGUCAUACUUCCAAGAAAAGCUUGCACUGUCAGAAACAGAUAAUGCCUGUACCAUAACCGACACAGGUGGGUAGGUAGAGUAUACUAAGGGGCGCGAGAUAACUCUCUCUAAGGAACUCGGCAAAAUGACUCCGUAACUUCGGGAGAAGGAGUGCCUUAUUUUUAAGGUUGCAAUAACAAGAUCCAAGCAACUGUUUACCAAAAACACAGGUCUCCGCUAAGUCGUAAGACGAUGUAUGGGGGCUGACGCCUGCCCAGUGCCAGAAGGUUAAAGAAGUCGGUUAGCAUUCCGAAGCUGGUAACUGAAGCCCUGGUGAACGGCGGCCGUAACGAUAACGGUCCUAAGGUAGCGAAAUUCCUUGUCGGGUAAGUUCCGACCCGCACGAAAGGCGUAAUGAUUUGGAUACUGUCUCGGAGAGGGGCUCGGUGAAAUAGACUUGUCUGUGAAGAUGCGGACUACCCGCACCUGGACAGAAAGACCCUAUGAAGCUUUACUGUAACUUGAAAUUGAAAUUGGACUUUAUUUGCGCAGUAUAGGUGGGAGGCGUUGAAAAUAUUCUUGCGGGAAUAUUGGAGCCAUCAGUGAGAUACCACUCUUGUAAUGUUAGAUUUCUAACUUUAUAUCAUUAUCUGGUUAAAGAACAGUUUCAGGCGGGCAGUUUGACUGGGGCGGUCGCCUCCCAAAUGGUAACGGAGGCGCACAAAGGUUUCCUCUGAACGGGUAGAAAUCGUAUCUAGAGUGUAAAGGCAUAAGGAAGCUUGACUGUGAGACCUACAAGUCGAGCAGGGACGAAAGUCGGUCUUAGUGAUCUGACGGUGCUGAGUGGAAAGGCCGUCACUCAACGGAUAAAAGUUACUCUAAGGAUAACAGGCUGAUCUCCCCCAAGAGUUCACAUCGACGGGGAGGUUUGGCACCUCGAUGUCGGCUCAUCGCAUCCUGGGGCGGUAGUACGUCCCAAGGGUUGGGCUGUUCGCCCAUGAAAGCGGUACGCGAGCUGGGUUCAGAACGUCGUGAGACAGUUCGGUCCAUAUCCGGUGUAGGCGUUAGAAUAUUGAGAGGAGCCUUCUUUAGUACGAGAGGACCGAGAAGGACAUACCUCUGGUGUACCAGUUAUCGUGCCAACGGUAAACGCUGGGUAGCUAUGUAUGGAGUGGAUAACCGCUGAAAGCAUCUAAGUGGGAAGCCCACCUCAAGAUAAGUAUUCUCAUG
rnacentral:rRNA from 1 species